GUCAUACUACUGUGUUCAUUCCCAAAUUAGCUUUAAACUUGCUUCUGCUAAUGUGUUUGAAAAUGUCAAGAGGCACCUUUCAGUUCAUCAUCAGGCAUUUAUUUUUGGAUUUAAAUCCUGAGGUCGAGUUGCGAUCUCGACACUCAACCCAGCACGGAUGGAAAGCGUACUCGGGAGUGGACCCGACUAGUUUCGAACCCGGGAACCUCCGCUCCCGGGGCUGGCGCCGAUGUCGUUGCGCCACCAGCUGGCCCAAACUUUGUUCUACUUGAUCUGCAAAAUAUUUUCAGAAUUUUCAGAUUCCCAGCAUCCACAGUAUCUUGUUUGUGUACUGAACCUUUUCAUUAUAUCUACCUGACAAGCUAUACUGUGAAAGUCAACUUUAAUUAAAUCUA